AUUUUCUUAGUAUAAAAGUACAGUUAGCUUCCAACUAAAAAGUUCAAAAUUUGAAGUAAAUA
rnacentral:tRNA from 1 species